rnacentral:rRNA from 1 species
UACAGAGGGUGCAAGCGUUGCUCGGAAUUACUGGGCGUAAAGCGUGAGUAGGCGGUCCACUAAGUGGGGUGUGAAAGCCCUGGGCUUAACCCAGGAACUGCGCUCCAAACUGAUGGACUUGAGUGCCGGAGAGGGUGGUGGAAUUCCCGGUGUAGAGGUGAAAUUCGUAGAUAUCGGGAGGAACACCAGUGGCGAAGGCGGCCACCUGGACGGACACUGACGCUGAGUCACGAAAGCGUGGGGAGCAAACAGG